CUGAUUUAUUUGCACCCUGACCCCUGCUCCCGUCUCAGCCUGUAUUUACAGAUCCGCCUUUGUGUCCUGUUGACUGUUUCAUGCCUUCAACCAGGAGCUCCAUACGCAUGAGGAGGAGGCACAAUCAUCAAAGAGGCCAGAGGUCUGAACUCGAGCGGUUGGCUGGCCACGCUCGCAGGGAAGGCUCUUGGGGAAGGCCCUUUCUCCACUCUCCCUGGCCCCUGGCAGCGGCUCCCUAGCCGUGGUGCUCCCCGGCUUGGACCUCGCUCGUCACGUGACCGUGCUCCUGCUCUACUCGUUCAAGGACACACUUGCUGGCCAGGACGUGGAAGCGGCCUAGAAGCGCGUCAGCAGAUGAAUGGACAGGGAAGCUGAGAUCCAUAUGCACAACGGAAUACCACGCAGCUAUAAGAAGGAGCGCGUCUGAGGCAGCUUCAGUGAGGGAGGUGAACCCAGAGCCUGUUCAGAGUGAAGUCAGAAAGAGGAAGGCAAACACCAUUUAUUCACACAAACAUACGGAAUCUAGAAAGACGGUACUGACGACCCUACAUGAAGGGCAGCAGAGGAGACGCGCAGACGCGAGAGAAAACUUCAGAAAUUAAAAUGAGGGCAAAAUACUCCUCAAUCCACUAUGAGCUAGAUCUGCAGAUGUGACUGUGCUCUCUUCAGCCACCUCCUCAAACCCUCGCCCACUGAAGGCUGUGUCACAGACACAGGGGAGAAAGCUGGGGUCUUGGGGGGGUAAGACUGACUUGUUUUGGUAAUCCUGGCUCUGUUCCUUACCGGCUGCAAGAUCUUGGGCGAUUCAUUCUCCGAGCCUCAAUUUUUGUUGUCUGUAAAACAGAGACAACAGCAGACUCUGAAAAUCAUUAAAGAGUAAAUACACACAGAGG
ensembl:lncRNA